UACGUAGGGGGCUAGCGUUGUCCGGCAUCAUUGGGCGUAAAGCGCGCGUAGGCGGCCCGGUAAGUCCGCUGUGAAAGUCCAGGGCUCAACCCUGGAAAGCCGGUGGAUACUGCCGGGCUAGAGUCCGGGAGAGGCGAGUGGAAUUCCUGGUGUAGCGGUGGAAUGCGCAGAUAUCUGGAGGAACACCGGUGGCGAAGGCGGCAUCCUGGACCGGUAUUGACGCUGAUGCGCGAAAGCCAGGGGAGCAAACGGG
rnacentral:rRNA from 1 species